rnacentral:rRNA from 1 species
UCGAGGAUCUUCGGCAAUGGGCGCAAGCCUGACCGAGCGACGCCGCGUGCGGGAUGAAGGCCUUCGGGUUGUAAACCGCUUUUAGUGGGGAGGAAGGCCCUGUGCAGAGCAGGGUUUGACCUAUCCGCAGAAUAAGUGUGGGCUAAGUUCGUGCCAGCAGCCGCGGUAAGACGAACCACACAAACGUUAUUCGGAAUUACUGGGCUUAAAGGGUGCGUAGGCGGUGCGGAAAGUUAGGUGUGAAAUCCCCCGGCUCAACCGGGGAAUUGCGCUUAAAACUACCGUGCUAGAGGAAGAUAGAGGUGAGCGGAACUUCGGGUGGAGCGGUGAAAUGCGUUGAUAUCCGAAGGAACACCGGUGGCGAAAGCGGCUCACUGGAUCUUUUCUGACGCUGAUGCACGAAAGCUAGGGGAGCAAACGGG